rnacentral:rRNA from 1 species
GUGUCAGCCGCCGCGGUAAGACAGAGGGUGCAAACGUUGUUCGGAAUUACUGGGCGUAAAGCGAGUGUAGGCGGUCCGAUAAGUCGGGUGUGAAAGCCCUGGGCUCAACCCAGGAAGUGCACUCGAAACUGCCGGGCUAGAGUAUCGGAGAGGUUGGUGGAAUUCUCGGUGUAGAGGUGAAAUUCGUAGAUAUCGAGAGGAACACCGGUGGCGAAGGCGGCCAACUGGACGAAUACUGACGCUGAGACUCGAAAGCGUGGGGAGCAAACAGGAUUAGAUACCCUCGUAGUCC